rnacentral:lncRNA from 1 species
CACCUCCCCUCCCCACAAAUUCUCUUACACCUAUUCACUCACCAUCCUCCUUCCUCUAAUCGUAACCAAAACCUUACCUUCAAUCUCCCAUUCCUCACUUCCUCUACUUCCUUUUCUAAUUCCUCACACUGUCUAGAUGACACCUCACCAUACCUAUCGAUCUCUCCUCCCGCGGCUUCCUCCACUUCUCUUCACUCACAACUCCAACCGAACUGUUCCACCACUCACGAUCUCUCUCUGCUUUUCUAUUCCAUCAAUCACU